CAGCCUGAAAUUUGCUAAACCU
rnacentral:miRNA from 11 species